rnacentral:tRNA from 1 species
GGGGUUGUGGCUCAGAGGUAGAGCACUCGCCUAGCAUGUGUGAGGCACUGGGUUCCAUCCUCAGCACCACA